ACGAACGCUGGCUGGCUGUGGAUAAGACAUGCAAGUCGAGCGUGAUUACAGGGUAGCAAUAUCUGUAGUCGGAGCGGCGGCAAGGGUGCGUAACACGUGGGCAAUCUGCCGUGAAGUCGGGGACAAACUUGCUGAAAGGCGAGCUAAUACCGGAUGUGAAUGUUGGAAGGCAUCUUCCGAUUUUCAAAGUUGGGGGACCUGUAUAGGCCUGGACGCUUCAUGAUGAGCCCGCGGCCUAUCAUGCUAGUUGGUGAGGUAACGGCUCACCAAGCUAAGACGGGUAGCUGGUCUGAGAGGACGACCAGCCACACUGGAACUGAGACACGGUCCAGACACCUACGGGUGGCAGCAGUCGAGAAUUUUUUCACAAUGGGCGAAAGGCCUGACUGGAGCGCACGCCCCUGCGGGGGGAUGAAUGGCUUCGGCCCGUAACCCCUGUCUUUGCGAAUCAACCGUUAUAUUUAAAAGAUGAUAACCUGAUAGUAGCGAAAGAGGAAGGGACGGCUAACUCUGUGCCAGCAGCCGCGGUAAUACAGAGGUCCCAAGCGUUGUUCGGAUUCACUGGGCGUAAAGGGUGCGUAGGUGGAUGAUGGUAAGUCGGAUGUGAAAUCUCGGAGCUCAACUCCGAAAUGGCAUUGGAAACUACCCCUUGCUCGAGGCGUGGAGGGGGGCUGGAAUUCUCGUGUUGUUGUUAGCAGUGAAAUGCGUAUAUAUCGAGAGGAACACCAGUGGCGAAGGUCGAGUCCCUGGACAACUCCUGACACCUGAGGCACGAAAGCUAGGGGAGCAAACAGGAUUAGAUACCCUGGUAGUCUAGCCGUAAACGGUGAUGUUUGCUGUAAAAGGAAUCGACCCCCUUUUGUGGCGUAGCCAACGCGUUAAACAUGCCGCCUGGGAAGUACGGUCGCAAGAUUAAAACUCAAAAGAAACUGACGGGGGGCCUGCACAAGCGGUGGGAGUAUAGUGGCUCAAUUCGAUGCAACGCGAAGAACCCUUACCUGGUCCUUGACAUGUACCUAGUCGAAGGGGUGAAAGCCUGACGAUGAUAGCAAUAUCAGGGUACCAACCGGUUGCUGCAUGGCUGUCGUCAGCUCGUCGUCGUGAGAUGUUGGGUUAAGUCCCCGCAACGAGCGAGCGCAACCCCUGUGUCCUGUUGCCACUCCGGCGCAAGGCCGGAAGCACUCUGGACAGACUGGCCUCGCUUAAACGAGGAAGGAAGGUGGGGAUGACGUCAAGUCAGUAUGGCCCUUACGGCCAGGGCUGCACACGUACUACAAUGCCCGGCACAAAGGGAAGCAAGAUCGUAAGAUGAGGCAAAUCCCCAAAAACCGGGCCCAGUUCAGAUUGUCGUCUGCAACUCGACGGCAUGAAGCAUGGAAUCGCUAGUAAUGGCGCAUCAGCUACGGCGCCGUGAAUACGUUCCCAGGCCUUGUACACACCGCCCGUCACAUCAUGAAAGCCGUUUGUACCCGAAGUCGUCGUGUUAACCGCAAGGAGACAGAUGCCGAAGGUAUGGAUGGUGAUUGGGAUG
rnacentral:rRNA from 1 species